rnacentral:rRNA from 1 species
GACGAGGGGUCCAAGCGUUGUUCGGAAUCAUUGGGCGUAAAGCGGGUGUAGGCGGCUCUAUAAGUCAGAAGUGAAAUCCCCGAGCUUAACUUGGGAAGUGCUUUUGAUACUGCAGAGCUUGAAUGUGGGAGAGGGUAGUGGAAUUCCAGGUGUAGUGGUGAAAUGCGUAGAUAUCUGGAGGAACACCGGUGGCGAAGGCAGCUACCUGGCCCAACAUUGACGCUGAGACGCGAAAGCAUGGGGAUCAAACAGG